UUAAUAUUCUGGGGGAGCUUUUUGGCUGAGAGGAUAGGGAUCGACCCCAUGAACCUGAUCCGGUUAAUACCGGCGGAGGGAAUGAAAUGGAAUACGAUA
rnacentral:ncRNA from 2 species